CCACUCUUUGCAGAAUGCUAGCUUCCAUUUUCCCCAGCCAGCCGCCACCGUGAGACCAUCUCCUGUUGUGGUUAAUGUCCAGUUGGUCCUGCCUGAGAGAAGGACUCUCCAGUAGCUGUGAUUUCCUCAGCUCACCCCCAGGCAGGAGUGAUCCUGCCUUGGAAACCUUGGACAGAGCUGGCAUUACACUGUGUUUUCCUUAGAAACGAGUUACAAAGAAGACUGCAGACAUGAGGAAUCUGAAAUCUGGAGUUGAGAGACCAGAGACUGGAGCCAAGGGGGCUGUGCCAGAGAAGGCACAAAAACUUCUGCUUCCCAAGGGCCCUCCCGGUUUCCUGCCUUCCCAGGUCAUAAGUGUUGAACAGUUCCUGAGUUCAUGAGCUGCUCCAGGAGCCUUCCAAUAAAUUCCCUGUUGGCUUAAGCUAACCAGA